rnacentral:misc_RNA from 1 species
GAUGAAGAACGCAGCGAAAUGCGAUACUUGGUGUGAAUUGCAGAAUCCCGUGAACCAUCGAGUCUUUGAACGCAAGUUGCGCCCGAAGCCACUAGGCCGAGGGCACGCCUGCCUGGGCGUCACACGCCGUUGCCCCCCCAUCUACUCCUUCGGGAUUGCGGGGGGGCGGAUGAUGGCCUCCCGUGCGCCUAGCCGCGCGGUUGGCAUAAAUACCAAGUCCUCGGCGACGCACGCCACGACAAUCGGUGGUUGCGGAACCUCGGUUGCCCGUCGUGUGCGUUCGUCGCGCAUCGAGGGCUCGAAAAAAUGCUCGGCUCCGGCUGGGCUUUCAACGCGACCCCAGGUCAGGCGGGGUUACCCGCUGAAUUUAAGCAUAUCAAUAAGCGGAGGA